rnacentral:rRNA from 1 species
GUGAGCUGGGUUUAGAACGUCGUGAGACAGUUCGGUCCCUAUCUGCCGUGGGUGUUGGAAAUUUGAGAGGAGCUGCCCCUAGUACGAGAGGACCGGGGUGGACGUACCUCUGGUGGACCUGUUGUCGCGCCAGCGGCAUAGCAGGGUAGCUAUGUACGGAAGGGAUAACCGCUGAAUGCAUCUAAGCGGGAAGCCCCCCUCAAAACCAGAUUUCCCUUGAGAGUCGAGGAAGACUACCUCGUUGAUAGGCUAGGUGUGGAAGUGUGGCGACACAUGAAGCUUACUAGUACUAAUAUCUCGAUAGACUUGAUUUC